CGAACAGAUUAUAUUGUGUGAAUACAUAACAGUACCAGAACAUUAGCUUCCAAUCAUUGAGUUACAAGAAUAUAGCUUACUCCUGUUAACCCCAUCACUGUUAAAAAUGACAUGCAUUGAUGAUCUGUUUCUGCAAGCCUUUAGAGGCAGAUUUAGGAUCUAGCUAACCAGCAAACAUGGGAAUGUAAGAAUGUAUAUCAAAAGGGACUCAGCCUUUGCAGAUCAUCCAUUCUAACUAAAUAUCUUAUGAUAUUCUCAAAGAAGGUUUCAAAACUUGGAUAUUUGAGUCUACAAUUAAAUGAACUGUAUCUUUACAAAAUCUGAUUACCAUGGUGAGGGCGGAGCACCCCAAGCAAGACUGGUUGCUCGAGAUGGCCUGCUUAACCACCUCUUUUAGGCUGCAUUCACAUCUGUUUUACACUACAGGUGCAUAUCCAUAGGAAUCAGUCUCUCUGCGCUGUGUAAAUGGAUCUGUACUGUGGUGACAAAGCAAACUAGCAGCAGUCUGAAUGCUAUUACCCCAUCCCUGCAAUUUUAUUUAUUUAUUUAUUUAUUUUUUAAAUCAAUGGAACAAAAUCCAAACAAUGGUUGACCCACGUAUUUUUUCAUUUUUAUAGGGCAGGCUAGUAGUAAAAUUUUGAGUCAAAAUAAGAAGUUGGAAAAUAAGUAUAAUCGGACCUAAAAUAUAAAUCCGCAUAGCCAAUGGUCAAGUGUAUCUUAACACCCAGGACAAAACAUUACAUUAUACAACACAGUACAGUACACAAAUGUAUCUAUUGUACAAUUUAUGGUAAGAAUUUUGGGUUACAAAAAGAAAAAGAUAUUUACCGUUUCAAUAUUUAUUACAUACAAAACACUGGCAAAAUAAAAUACAGUUUAAAAUCUUUCAGGUUAGGAGUGUAUACAAUGAUAUGAAGUAGUUAAUAGUCACAUUAAACGCAAGUUAUCGGUGUCAGAUGAUUCAUUAAAGAGGAAGGUCCUCAAAUUAUCUUCAGAUGUCAUGAAAAAGAAAAUUGGAAAUUACACUGUUGUGGGUGGGGGUGUCUAUGGGUUAGAAACCUAUAUAGGAAUAAGUGGGGUCUCAUGCUCUGUCAGAAGAUAACUAGAGGUGGAGCUCCAUCUUUAAAACAGAAAUUGGGUAAAAUGUGAAUAUUUGGUCAUACCCAUGUAACAUUACAGCAUUAGCCAAAUGGGGUAGCAUUUCCUACACUGCCUUCUGGGUAAAAGCUCUUUAAAACGGACCGAAUAUUAGGUGAAUGUUAGUCGGAUAGUUAGCCCAUGUAAAAGUGGCAGCUAUCUACCAACGAAAUGAUCUUUUGUAUAGCCAAUAAAAUCAUAGCUAUCGGCUGUAAGUUGCCCUGUGAAAACAGGUGAUGUGCAGCUGAUAAGGUUAUCGAAAGAGCACACGACUAAUUGGCCAUUGUGAAGGCUAGGUAAUGGAGUACAGAUCAGUGGUCAAUUUUUGUCUCCUGUCGGCCUGUACUUGUAUCACUGCUACUUGGCUGUGCUGGCCAAUGCAGGUUUUAAGUGUGGCCUAGAAAUAACAAAAUGAGGGAUAUUCAGAAUGAUGGAAAGUAACUUUAUUUUUAGGAAAUACUGCAAUAUAUGGGUGUGGCCUUACUUUUUUUUUUUUUACUGAUCCCAAACUCAGACAUAUAUAACAAAAUGUUUAAUAAUGCGUAGAUUGUCACAUUAUAAAUUGCAGUUAUAGUCUUACCAGAUUGUCACAUAAGCUUUAUCUUUUGAAAGGCCGAGUCCCCAAUGUAAAUGUUAUAAUACACUCAAGUGAGUAUGCAGAAUCCAGAGCAAAGAGAACAUCAGUUGCAUGGAGUGUAGAGUAAUGUCACCUGAUUCUAAAGUACUCAAAAGUUUGCAAUUCACUGUAUUUUUGGUAGACGUUACAGUCAAACAGGAAGUGUAGCACAUUUUAAAUUCCAUUUCUAAAGCAGUCUACAGUUUUAUGGUAGAUGCCUAGAAAACUGCUCAUUUUGAAGGUCAUAGCUUACAUUUGCAGAUCUCACGCAACCCACUGAGCCAGUCAUAAAACAGCUCCACUUCUGCCAGAAGCCAUAUAAAUUCAUUGUAGCAGCACAUAUUACCUUAGCCACCUCAUCCAAAAAAAGGUGUAAUAUAAAAGGCAUCAGGGCAAGUGGCUACAUACUCAUCUCGGCUAUUUAUCACCAUUCCCAACAUUCUGCUGAGGACAUAAAAAAAGCCUUUGUCCUUUGCCAUCUCUAAACAAUUUAUGUGUAUUCAUUUCAUGGAAGAUUAACCAUUAAAGAGCUAUUUCAAAGCUUAGUGUUGAGGCAGUAAGAUUGAAAUACAUUUAUAUCUACAGUUCACCAACACAGAUCUGCAUUAAGGAUGCUUUCAUAAAAUGUCAUUUCAUAGUAGGAUAACCAAUUAACAUAAUAUAACAGUUUUGGCAUAUAAAAAAAAAAAAAAAACACAAACAGAAACAAUGAUCCAACAAACAGGUAUGUGCAAUGUGUACAAAAAUAUCUUAUCGCAAGUAUAUUUACAUAUAUAACAAUAAGCCUUGAAGCCUAUAAUCUUUGGUUGCCAUGUAUGGAAAAUUAUUCAACGAGGAGUGGAAUUUUAGUGCACGGAUGAAAAAAUCAUUGUAGUGUUGAAAUAAACCUAGAGAUAUGUGUUUGAAAAUAAAUAGUGAUGUUAUUUAAUAGUCUUACAUUUUCCGUGUAUACAGCUUCUGAGCAGAUCUGUGUCGCCAUAGUUACUACAAACAAACCUUGAAUGGAGUCAGCUUAUCCUGCUGUGUUACUAAACCUCCUAUUUGCCCGCUUUACUUUCUAACGUUCAAACAGGAGAAGUUUAGGCAGAAGAAAAAUAAGGCUAGGUUCACAUAUCUGGCUCAAAGAACCCAGCCUAAGGGUAUGUUCACAUGAGCGGAUAACCUGCAGAAUUUCCGCAGCGGAUUUUGCUACCAUUGACUUCAAUGGGCCAGAAGACAAUUCUGCAAAUCUACCUCUAUAGUGGAUUUUCUGCUGACCCAUUGAAGUCAAUGGUAGCAAGAUCUGCUGUGGAUUUUCCGCAGGUAAUCCACCUGUGUGAACGUAACCUAAAACUGACCACAACUCAAGCACUUUGUCAUUAGUUGUUUAGUAUGUGGCGGUCAAUAACUGUGCAGACUGGACAUAGGAAUGUAGCAAGAUGGGUUUCUGUGUCCAAACAUCCAGCAUCCAAAUUCAGGCGCUAGAUAAAUGCGAACAGUCCCAUUCAAAUGAAUAGAAUCAUUUCUACAAUCAGUUUUCCUCUGGUGCCGGUAGAAAAGCCAACAGAUGUGUGUGAAGAGGGCCUAAAACUGCAAGAUCAGACUACACAAGGCUUGUUUGUAGUCUGGAACCAAGGGAACAGAACAUAAAAAGGGUCUAGCUGGUCAAAUUCGACUAUUAUACUGCACAAUGCCUUAGUUGGUAAUGCUUUAUUUCCACUUUAACUUAAAAAGUGCCCACAUUUCUACUUCUAUAGGCAAAGUAGUCUCAAAGGUGAAUUUCAAUGAACAGAUGUCAAAUGUGGAUGUAAAAGUGUUAGGGUUAAAAAAAAAACCUUAACUAAGGAUGUAAACCAUGGAUACUAAAAUAAUCAUAAACAAUGAGUCAACCUAUAUAGAAUAAUGGGUCUGUGCAAGAACAGAACAUAAACAUGCAUAAAAAUAUUGUCAUAUGUGGGGUACAGUAAGCAUAUUUAAAAUAUAUGCAAAUAUAGAGCAAUUCAUAUCAGAGGAUGCCAAAAGUCACAUACAAAACAUUCAAUAGGUGCCUUUCAUUAAGCCUAGCAGUACUGUUAAAAGUCAUUGACUCACUUUAAAUGGUGCAAGGAUUGCAUCUAUAUGUGCAUCUGUAUAAGGAUUUAUGGUAAAGCAGCAAAGAAAAUAUUGUUGUGCAAUUAUUCAGUGUGCAGAAUACAUGGAUUAUUAUUAACUAGUAAGGAAACAUCUACUCAAGGGCUGUCCAAUACAAUUGGUAUAGAACUAAAAACAAUAUGACCACCAUGAUCACCAUACACUUCUAGAAAGCAUUUAGGAGGCUAUUGCCUUUGAAAAACUUUCACUACACCAAAGCACCUUAAAAAGAUAAAACAAACUUUUCAAUCAGUCUUUACUAAAGAUUCUGUAGCAUUUUGUGUACACAGCUCCUUCGUAGACCUAUGUGUAUCCAUGGUCACGGAACACAAAUACUGCAUUGUCUGAUGUUGCAGUUACACCUUUACAUGAAGCCAGUUUCUCUCGCAGGAAAGAUAGAUGGGAGUAUAACUUCUUUUAGAUUAUACAAAUAUGUAUCUAAGUAGAAACAUACAUCUGCAGAGCAGGAAACGCCAAGAUAUUUUUAAUUAAGACUGUUUAAAAAAGUUGCAUAAUUUUUUUUCUUUUUAAGAUGCACCGAAGCACAAAAAAAAAAAAUGGGUUGCCGUGUACAUACCCUUUAAAGAAGUUUCCAACUUGAGAAAAGACUUUAUAUUUUUCUAUACUUAACCCAAAGGAGCACUGAAUCUAGAAAGGAAAAAGCCACUAGUAUCAUUCCUAUGAGUGUAUAUCAAUUUUUAAAAAGUGGAAAUAUGUGACAUACAAUGGGACAACAGCGGUGAAGAUUCUUUUCUUAACUUCUCAGUAAUCUUACAGAUCAUCAUUACAACCCGCCUCUCCAAAGCCAUUGAUUCCAUUCAAAUGGUGCAUGUUAUAUUACGUAAGUGUGCAUUAACUUUAGAGUACUGCCUUCUUAACACCUUUAGGCCAAGUUUCCACUUGUCUUUUUUCUGGCAGUUUCUGGAAUACUGCCACUGCAGUUUUUGAGCCAAAGCCAGAAGUGUAUUCAAAAGGAAUGGGGAAUAUAAAGGAAGGACUUACACUUCUCCCAUAUGGAUCCACUUCUGACUUUGGCUCAAAAACUGCAGUGGCAGUAUUCCAAAAACUGCCAGAAAAAAAACCAAGUGGAAACUUAGCCUAAGGAUGCAGCAAUAUUUACAUUUUGCAUCUUAUUUCCUCGACACCUUUCAAUUUUCCACCUAAAGGGCCAUAUGAGCUCUUGUUUUAUGCAGGACCUGUUGUAACUUGUAAACAAAUAAAAGCUAAAAUUAUUUGAAGAAAAAAAA